CAGUCGCCGCGGGAAUACAGAGGGUGCGAGCGUUAAUCGGAUUUACUGGGCGUAAAGCGUGCGUAGGCGGCUUCUUAAGUCGGAUGUGAAAUCCCUGAGCUUAACUUAGGAAUUGCAUUCGAUACUGGAAAGCUAGAGUAUGGGAGAGGAUGGUAGAAUUCCAGGUGUAGCGGUGAAAUGCGUAGAGAUCUGGAGGAAUACCGAUGGCGAAGGCAGCCAUCUGGCCUAAUACUGACGCUGAGGUACGAAAGCAUGGGGAGCAAACAGGAUUAGAUACCCCUGUAGUCCCUGUCUCUUAUAC
rnacentral:rRNA from 1 species